rnacentral:rRNA from 1 species
CAGUAGCCGCGGGAAUACCGAGGGUGCGAGCGUUAAUCGGAUUUACUGGGCGUAAAGCGUGCGUAGGCGGCUUCUUAAGUCGGAUGUGAAAUCCCUGAGCUUAACUUAGGAAUUGCAUUCGAUACUGGGAAGCUAGAGUAUGGGAGAGGAUGGUAGAAUUCCAGGUGUAGCGGUGAGAUGCGUAGAGAUCUGGAGGAAUACCGAUGGCGAAGGCAGCCAUCUGGCCUAAUACUGACGCUGAGGUACGAAAGCAUGGGGAGCAAACAGGAUUAGAUACCCCUGUAGUCCCUGUCUCUUAUAC